UACGUAGGGUGCGAGCGUUGUCCGGAAUUACUGGGCGUAAAGAGCUCGUAGGUGGUUUGUCGCGUUGUUCGUGAAAACUCACAGCUCAACUGUGGGCGUGCGGGCGAUACGGGCAGGCUGGAGUACUGCAGGGGAGACUGGAAUUCCUGGUGUAGCGGUGGAAUGCGCAGAUAUCAGGAGGAACACCGGUGGCGAAGGCGGAUCUCUGGGCCAUUACUGACGCUGAGGAGCGAAAGCGUGGGGAGCAAACAGG
rnacentral:rRNA from 1 species